UACAGAGGGGGCAAGCGUUGUUCGGAAUUACUGGGCGUAAAGGGCGCGUAGGCGGCCUGCUAAGUCGAACGUGAAAUCCCUGGGCUCAACCCAGGAACUGCGUCCGAUACUGGUUGGCUUGAAUCCGGGAGAGGGAUGUGGAAUUCCAGGUGUAGCGGUGAAAUGCGUAGAUAUCUGGAGGAACACCGGUGGCGAAGGCGGUCGACUGGGCCAGUACUGACGCUGAGGCGCGACAGCGUGGGGAGCAAACAGG
rnacentral:rRNA from 1 species